AUUGAACGCUGGCGGCAUGCUUUACACAUGCAAGUCGAACGGUAACAGGCCGCAAGGUGCUGACGAGUGGCGAACGGGUGAGUAAUGCAUCGGAACGUGCCCAGUCGUGGGGGAUAACUACUCGAAAGAGUAGCUAAUACCGCAUACGAUCUAUGGAUGAAAGCGGGGGACCGUAAGGCCUCGCGCGAUUGGAGCGGCCGAUGUCAGAUUAGGUAGUUGGUGGGGUAAAGGCUCACCAAGCCAACGAUCUGUAUCUGGUCUGAGAGGACAACCAGCCACACUGGGACUGAGACACGGCCCAGGCUCCUACGGGAGGCAGCAGUGGGGAAUUUUGGACAAUGGGCGCAAGCCCGAUCCAGCAAUGCCGCGUGCAGGAAGAAGGCCUUCGGGUUGUAAACUGCUUUUGUACGGAACGAAACGGCUCUGGUUAAUACCCGGGGCUAAUGACGGUACCGUAAGAAUAAGCACCGGCUAACUACGUG
rnacentral:rRNA from 1 species